AAAAGUUUAAAAUCUGUUUUGUCAGUGGCAACAGUGAGUGCAUUUCCAACACCCUAUCACCAGAUCUGUGCGUUAAUGGAUAUAUUAUUGACCCGUGACACCCGAUAUGGGUAUAUGAGC